rnacentral:lncRNA from 1 species
CGGGUUGAAUAUCGACCACAGUCUUUGGGCCAAGAUUAAUGGUUCUUCCGUCAGCCCUAAUCAGAAGAUUGAGUCCUCUGGAUCCAGCCUCGCCACCUGGAAAAAGUUAAAAAAUGAGCCAUGAAUAAAAAACGACGGAAGAAGCGAAAGCGUAGUGAUACUAUGAUAAACAAUACAGACAGACAAUUCAGAAUAAUUCGGUUUUGAGAAAGAGUGAGCCAAAUACGUUUAAAUAAGGAUGCUGAUACAUUAUCCAUGUAUUAAAAAAAGGAAGACAUCUCCUGAAGCAGACCAUAUUAUACACAAGCGUGUCGUUUACAAAUCGCCAAAAACUAGGCAACCACUAUAAAAAUGGUGGCCAUCAGGCAGUAGUAAUUUUUGGUACGCUCCCACUGUUUCUACAAUCAACUAGGUGGCAUUAUUGGUUAGCAACUGCGCAUGGCAAUUUCCCAUUGAAGGUCCCACAUAAUAAAGUCUACCAGGUGAUAAAGGACAAAAGGGUCAAACAGGAAGUGCAGGCAUCGAUGUGAUACAAGCCCUUAAGGGCUUUAAAAAAUCAGUGACAACUCUACGAGGAGGGACGCUAGGCUACGCCGAGAUCGUAGCUGUCAAGGGAGUGCCUGGAGAGCCAGGUCUUCCAGAACUACUGGGUUCUUCAGGUCGCGAGGGUCCCUCGGGACACGAUGGUAGGCAGGAAAUGCCAGCGGAACCUGGACCAGCAGGUGAGAGGAGCGAACCUGGUCCUCCUGGACCGCUUAGAAUUGAUGGACUUACCGGACCAAAGAUUCAGGAUGCCUUUUAAGUGAACAAAAAAACGUAACGGUGCUGGCUUUACCUGAACGAAUGAAAAAAGCUGUACUUGAUGUUAUAGAUGGGUGCAAGCUGGGAACCACGGCUGCAAAAUACGACCUCAACAAAAUGACUUUGUUGCAAAAUUGAAACAGAAAGGAGACUUUAGGCCAAACUUUACGAGAAUGAAUUAUGGGUUUACAUCGUCAAAAAAAAAAGAAAAUUCUUCCAAAUUAGGCAAAAAAUGAGGAAGCUUCAUACGAAUGACUCCAUUAACUUAAAGUUAUUGUAUCGAACCCUGGGACCGACCAGUCUUGCUCGGGCGACAACCUUAAUUCAACACACCGUUGGGACUUUAUAAUUUACUUAGACAGGAGUGCAGACUGUCAAAGAAAGAAAAAAAGCAAGAAAGGAAAAAAGCAAAGUUCCUUUAGGUGAGAGAGGCUAAACCAUCACGGGCUUGUGCAUGGUAAAUAACAUAUAUGACACUUGGAGAGCCACCAAGAUCUAGAGUAGCUGAAUCACUAAUUCACACUUGCUUACUGAUGAUGACUUGGCUCUCAUGGCAAGAGUUACCGAUUUACCCUACCCCAUCACCACGAACGGCAGUCGAUGCAACUUCAGCUAUAAAUAAGAAACGUACGCCAGAAAUGUCUUGCUCCUAUAAGAAGAAAUAAGGCCACAUCGCAAACGUCACAUUUAAAGGAAACAUAAGGAAGAAUUUUUUUUAUAAAAGGUAAAAAACACGAAAUCUACAGCAUCACAAAUACAUUUAAUAAAAUAACAAAGGUUACAUGUUUCGCUCGACUAGAGCAUCAUCAGACCUAAACAAUAAUUAAAAUUAUGUAACCCGAAAACAGGAGAAUUCAACAAAAACUUACCAUAACAUACACAAAACACCUAAUAUUUAAGUAAACAAAGAUUACAAUAAAGUGGCACUAUCUAUGUACAAAGAACUCAACUAAACAAUCAAAUCCUUUAUACAUUUCAGAAAUCUAACCAUCAUUUAAGAGUCUAGAACUACUUGAGGUUAUUAAAAACUAGGUGGCCAUCAAAAUCAAACCUUUCAUUAACACAGGACAGAUCUGGGCUUUUAAAAGCUUUACUAAUCUCCAUUGUCUCCAACAAGUCUAGUUUUUUACUUUUGUUGCAUUGAUGCAGUAUUUUUAUAUUUUGGCUGUCAGGAAAAUCAUGUCUGGAGUCGAGAAGGUGAUUAGCAAAAGCUGAUCUGGUCACUGUGAUUUCGGUAUUUUUAAAUUUAUUGUAUUGGGCCUUGUGUUCACUAAUCCUAGUAGAAAUCUUCCUACCAGACUGGCCGACGUACACUGCAGGGCACUCUUUACACCUAAUCUCAUAAACUCCUGGAGAAGAUAGCGGGGGUAGUUUAUCUUUAGUUUUAAUUAGAUGUCUAUUUAAGGUAUUAUUGGUUUUAAAA